AACUAACGCUAUUAUUGAUACAGUUUCUGUACUUCAUUGGUAUGGGAAGCUUCCAGGAAUAACCUGUGUUUGAGGUGAAAGCCCUCAACACUAGGAAUCUUCUGGCAAAUUUUGGAAGGAGGGUCUUCGGACCCUC
rnacentral:misc_RNA from 1 species